ncrna:Vibrio diabolicus E0666 PAGEV RNA
UUCUGUUUGGACUCAAGAUGUUUUGGACAGAACGAUGCGCAUCAGCCACCGACCAAGGGAAGUCCGAUAGGUGGCAGGUAAAGGCACUAAUCAGAACUUGCGAAAGCACGAUAAAACCGCCCUGUUGUAGCUGCUAGACGGGGACAAGCGGAAAAGGAAUAACUGAUUAGUGUUGUGUGACUCGGAUGGGGGGCGAAAGCCUUUACACACAGCGCAGGG